rnacentral:rRNA from 1 species
AACGAACGCUGGCGGCGCGUCUUAAGCAUGCAAGUCGAACGGCAAGAGAGAAGCUUGCUUCUCUCCUAGAGUGGCGGACUGGUGAGGAACACGUGGGUAAUCUACCCUUAAGAUGGGGAUAGCUGCUAGAAAUAGCAGGUAAUACCGAAUACACUCAGUUUUUCAUAAGAAGGAUUGAGGAAAGGAAGCUACGGCUUCGCUUGAGGAUGAGCUUGCGUCCCAUUAGCUUGUUGGUGAGGUAACGGCUCACCAAGGCGACGAUGGGUAUCCGGCCUGAGAGGGUGAUCGGACACAUUGGGACUGAGAUACGGCCCAAACUCCUACGGGAGGCAGCAGCUAGGAAUAUUCCGCAAUGGACGAAAGUCUGACGGAGCGACGCCGCGUGGAUGAAGAAGGCUGAAAAGUUGUAAAAUCCUUUUGUUGAUGAAGAAUAAGGGUGAGAGGGAAUGUUCAUCUGAUGACGGUAAUCAGCGAAUAAGCCCCG